rnacentral:rRNA from 1 species
GACGUAGGUGGCGAACGUUAUCCGGAAUUAUUGGGCGUAAAGGGUGCGUAGAUGGCUUAGUAAGUUGGCGGUGGGAAAUCGAGGCUCAACCUCGCGGAAGCCGACAAUACUAUUAAGCUCGAGUACAGGAGAGGUUAAUGGAACUCCAUGUGGAGCGGUAAAAUGCACAGAUAUAUGGAAGAACACCAAUAAAGGCGAAGGCAAUUAACUAUUCUGUUACUGACAUUGAGGCACGAAAGCGUGGGGAGCAAACAGGGAUUAGA